AUUGAACGCUGGCGACAUGCCUUACACAUGCAAGUCGAACGGUAACAGGUCUUCGGAUGCUGACGAGUGGCGAACGGGUGAGUAAUACAUCGGAACGUGCCCGAUCGUGGGGGAUAACGAAGCGAAAGCUUUGCUAAUACCGCAUACGAUCUACGGAUGAAAGCCGGGGACCGCAAGGCCUUGCGCGAACGGAGCGGCCGAUGGCAGAUUAGGUAGUUGGUGGGAUAAAAGCUUACCAAGCCGACGAUCUGUAGCUGGUCUGAGAGGACGACCAGCCACACUGGGACUGAGACACGGCCCAGACUCCUACGGGAGGCAGCAGUGGGGAAUUUUGGACAAUGGGCGAAAGCCUGAUCCAGCCAUGCCGCGUGCAGGAUGAAGGCCUUCGGGUUGUAAACUGCUUUUGUACGGAACGAAAAGACUCUGGUUAAUACCUGGGGUCCAUGACGGUACCGUAAGAAUAAGCACCGGCUAACUACGUG
rnacentral:rRNA from 1 species